UACGUAGGGGGCGAGCGUUGUCCGGAUUCAUUGGGCGUAAAGAGCUCGUAGGCGGCUUGGUAAGUCGGGUGUGAAACCUCCAGGCUCAACCUGGAGACGCCACUCGAUACUGCCAUGGCUAGAGUCCGGUAGGGGCCCACGGAAUUCCUGGUGUAGCGGUGAAAUGCGCAGAUAUCAGGAGGAACACCGGUGGCGAAGGCGGGUCUCUGGAACGCAACUGACGCUGAGACACGAAAGCGUGGGUAGCAAACAGG
rnacentral:rRNA from 1 species